rnacentral:rRNA from 1 species
CGGCCCACCAAGCCGACGAUGUCUAGGGGUUCUGAGAGGAAGGUCCCCCACACUGGAACUGAGACACAGUCCAGACUCCUACGGGAGGCAGCAGUGAGGAAUAUUGGUCAAUGGGCGAGAGCCUGAACCAGCCAAGUCGCGUGAGGGAAGAAUGGUCUAUGGCCUGUAAACCUCUUUUGUCAAGGAAGAACAUGUAGUACGUGUACUACCCUGCCAGUACUUGACGAAUAAGCAUCGGCUAACUCCGUGCCAGCAGCCGCGGUAAUACGGGGGAUGCGAGCGUUAUCCGGAUUUAUUGGGUUUAAAGGGCGCGUAGGCGGGACGUCAAGUCAGCGGUAAAAGACUGCAGCUAAACUGUAGCACGCCGUUGAAACUGUCGACCUGGAGACGAGACGAGGGAGGCGGAACAAGUGAAGUAGCGGUGAAAUGCAUAGAUAUCACUUGGAACCCCGAUAGCGAAGGCAGCUUCCCAGGCUCGAUCUGACGCUGAUGCGCGAGAGCGUGGGUAGCGAACAGGAUUAGAUACCCUGGUAGUCCACGCCGUAAACGAUGCUCACUGGAUCUUGGCGAUACACGGCCAGGGUUCAAGCGAAAGUAUUAAGUGAGCCACCUGGGGAGUACGUCGGCAACGAUGAAACUCAAAGGAAUUGACGGGGGCCCGCACAAGCGGAGGAACAUGUGGUUUAAUUCGAUGAUACGCGAGGAACCUUACCCGGGUUUAAAUGCAGGUUGCAUGAGGUGGAAACACCUCUUUCCCUCGGGACUACCUGCAAGGUGCUGCAUGGUUGUCGUCAGCUCGUGCCGUGAGGUGUCGGGUUAAGUCCCAUAACGAGCGCAACCCCUAUCGCCAGUUGCCAUCGGUUUCGGCCGGGCACUCUGUCGAGACUGCCACCGUAAGGUGCGAGGAAGGCGGGGAUGACGUCAAAUCAGCACGGCCCUUACACCCGGGGCGACACACGUGUUACAAUGGCCGGUACAGAGGGCAGCCACGGGGCGACCCGGAGCGAAUCUCUAAAGCCGGUCGUAGUUCGGACUGGAGUCUGCAACCCGACUCCACGAAGUUGGAUUCGCUAGUAAUCGCGCAUCAGCCAUGGCGCGGUGAAUACGUUCCCGGGCCUUGUACACACCGCCCGUCAAGCCAUGGAAGCCGGGAGUACCUGAAGAUCGUGACCGCGAGGAACGGGCUAGGGUAAUACCGGUAACUGGGGCUAAGUCGGAACAAGGUA